AAAAAAAAAAAAAAAAAAAAAAAAAAAAAAAAAAAAAAAAAAAGAGAGAGAGAGAGAGAGAAAAAGAGAAGAAAACCAAGAUAAAGCAUCCUUCGUGGGUACUCUGGUCCCAGUGGGGAAGAGAGGAGGCUGGUGACUUGUGCCCUAAAUGUAACUUUCAGGAGAGAGAGGGAAACCUUUUAUGAGAAAGAUUUAGAUGGAAGUAAUGUCAGAUAUUAUUAUCAUCAUCUUGCUUUGACAAGUCUGGGGCUGAGCUGGAUUUUGAACCCCCAAAUCUCUAUCAGGAACCCACAGAGCCUCCCCCAUGUUUUCUAAGAAUAAGAGAAAUAUUGCAUGUAAAUUUAAAUCUUACACAAUACCUCCCAAGAAAGUUUUACUGACAUCCUUAUAUAUGGUGGUUGUUCAAUUCAUCUUUGUUGAAUAAGUAACUAUCUGGGGAGGAAUGAGGGCAUGGAUGAAUGGGAGAAUGGAUGAAUAGACAGCCGGUUGGCUGGCUGGCUGAAUAUAUGGCAGGAAAUGGCUGAUUUCUUCAUGUAGAGUGCAUGGCUCUGCACAAAACAUAAGUUAAAAAGGAAUAAAUUGCCUGACUUGUUAUUGGGGAAUAGCAAUAGAAUUAGACCUCUAGAAUAACUCUUGAACAACCUUGUCAUUGUAAGAAUCUGGCACACAUGGUGGAGUCAUUGAUUCAAAUAUGGAAGUGUCCUCAGAAAUGCAAUAGUCCUCUUGACCUAGAGAGGAAGAUAAAAAAGUAACAAUGCCUUGGUACGAACUGCUAAUAUGUUACAGAACUUUAAUAUGAGCCUAGUUCUCAUAAAAACUGCCCUGCCUAGUGCACUUUCUCAUAAAGUCACUGUACUAUCUUAUAAAGUAAUUACAAACAGUAGGAUGAUUAGUUUUUUUUCCCCCCUCUUGCAGCUUUCAAAAGAAACAAAGUAUUAUUAGCUAAGGAAGAGAAGAGGUUUGGGUUUGCUAAAGCGGUAGCUCCUUCUAGAUUGGCGUGUCAUGCUCUUAGGCAGGAAUCAGACCUGUAAGCUGACAGGGGUUAAAGAAAUGUUCUUACUGUUUUUAUUAAUAAAGUCAUACUUCUACCAAACCAGACCAGAAAAUAUACUUAUCACAUAUAAAUCUUUUCCUAUUAAAUGGAAGAACUAGACUAGGAUUUAUAAGCAUUCUUUAGGGAUUGGAGUUGCACUUUUUGAAAGUACAUGAUUGAUUAUAAAACAUACAUGAAAAUCCUAAAACAUCUAAAAUUUAUGCGCAUUGCAUAGGAAAAAUAUAUAUAUAUAUAUAAGCAGAGGAACAGGUUUACAAAUCAUGCAAUAAAUCCGAAAUAAAGGGAUUUGAUUUCGCCAAUAUAUUUUGCACUUGAGAUAUAAAUGAUUUAUGUUAUAAAUCAGAACUCUAACAUCUUGUCAUCAUAAUAAAGUUUGCAAAUAUGAACCUUUAAAUAUGACUUACAGCUCUAGUUAAAAUUUCUAUCUAUCUUUUAUAAUUUUGGUUCUUUCUCAGAAUAAAAUUGGGUUAUGAAGUUUCAUCUUCUAAAUGAUGGUGAUUGCAAGGGCUAUGCUCACCCUAUUAUCAUUACUGGGGAAUUAUUGAGAAUCAGAAGGUUCUUUUUUGUAGGUUACAUUCUCACACACCAUGUAAGAUAACAUAUGUUAAAGCACUUUACAAACUGAAAAAAGUAUCAAAGUGUGGUAUGGUAUUUAGUAGCUGCUGAGUUCCCUCUGCUUUCAUAAUGCAAUGUCUCUUUGAAGACAUCAACUAGUUUAAAUGGGCACAGAUGGAGACAGGUGGAGUUUUAUCCUGCACCCACCCAUGGUCAAGUCUGCCUAGACAAUGAUCCUUCCAACUCACCAAUCUCUGAAAAUGAUGCCCUGACUAACCAGCUGGUAAUAUCUUAUUUCAGCAUUUCAGAUGCAUCACAACAUUGUUCCACUAUCCACAAGAUGAUUUUUUUUCUUUCUCCACUUAAAGAUAACAGAACUCUUAGUAGAGUUUCUCAACUAACUGUCAUUAUCAUGGCUAUUGCUUCACAAGCUUCUAUUACAAGUCAAGCAAUAUCUUGAUAUUUUUGUACAGAAUGUCUUUUGAGCCUCCUAACAAUGCCAUGGGUUAGGUUGCAGAUCAGGAAACUGGAUUUCUGAAAAUGUGCAUGUCUUAUAGAAGUUCACAUAAUCAAUCUCCUACAAAAGGAAAAGGUUUUGGGGGCUGGCUUAGCAUGCCUCCUGGCACCGUGGGCUCUCAAGGGGUGAGAUUAGAGUUCAUAAACCCAAAUGCUUACCAAGACCAGGUGUGUUGCAUAGUGUGUGUUGCAUAAGGGCUACCUGCCAGGUGUUGGCUCUACCUAGAAAGCUCUGAGAAUGCUCUACAACAAGCCAAUUGCUACCUAUGGAGACAGAGGUUUAGAAGUUCUAGAACAGAUAUUUUAGAAGAGGACUAGGUUUCAAACCUAGUAUUUUACAUGAAAACUCCUGAUUUUUAAGUUAUUACUCUUACUUUGAGGGUUUUGAUUUUUCCUAAAUGUUGUGCUGACCCCGUAAUGCAUCUGAAGAGCAGAUAUGACACAGAAUCUGGCAGUUUAAGACUUCUAGUACAGGUGUUACAAAAUUUAGAAUGACCUCUUUGUGUCCCCAUAUUUUACUUAAUUAAUUUUUGGUGGAGUUGGGUGCAAUGAAUCUUUUUAUCUGAAGAGGGGAGUUUCUAGAUUUCUAGUCUAUGAAAUGAAUCCAAUCAGUAUAACUCAGAAAUUAAUUUACAACAUAUCCCAUUGUUGUUUGUAUUAUUUCCUAUGGAAUCAAUUUUUUUUUAUGUUUUCUCAUCCCUAUCCAAUCUUACCGAUGUUUUUAUCCAUCAUUGUGAGUUUUCUCUAUGGCCAUUAUUUUUACCAUGUACAGUUCUGGAUCAAAUUCACUAAGUCUAAACCUUACCUGUACAUUUUCAGCAAAUGCCAAACUCUCUUUUAUGUGAAUCAUAUUUUCUAGUAAUAUUCUUAACUAAUUUAUUAAUUGAAUAAAGCCUGAUCAUUUGCAUUUAUGUCUUGGCAAACUCCUGAGGACAUGAUGAUUGACUCCCCUUGGGUAAUUCAGCGUUGCUUCCUUUUCUAAGAAUUUUAUAAGAGCUUUCUGAUAAUUUUACAUAUCUUGUCUGGGCCUUCCAACUAGGAGUGUGUGGGAUUUAUUAGAAGAAGGAGAGCAUGGAGUUGGUGGAAAUGACCUUAUUUAUGUAGGUUUGAACACUCAAGUAUUCUAUUUCAUCCUGCUGCCUGAAUAAUUUAAUAAAUGUGUGACAUCCUAAAGACACACUGAAUGAGGACACACAUUAUAAAACAAGGCCAUUUAACGAGUCUGCUAAAUAUAAGGAAUCUGAAAUCCAUGAAGAAUAUGACAGAGACUGGUAAUUGAUUCUGGCCUAUAAUCCAUUGCCUCUUCUUAUACUAAGGCUAUAUUUUGUUUUAAAUCCAGUCCAUCUUAUUCAUCAGUGUUAUUGAAACAUUGCCUGUAAUAACUGCAUAAGCUUUCUGAGAUAAUGCCUAGCUGAAUUAGCACUAAUUCCCUGUCAAGUCUUCUUAAGACUGUAUGUUUAACCUUUUUUCUUUCAAUCUUGGAAAGUCUGUGUCUUGAUAUGACUGCGUUAACUGAAAGAAAACAUUCUAUUUCUUGGAAUGUAUUUAAUGCUUAUGUUUUUAAAGAGAAGAUGGGGCUUUUUUUUUUUUUUUUAAGAGUUUGAGUCCUAUGAAAGCCUCAGGAAAUAAUCAAAAUCUAAAACCACAGGCUUCAUCCUUAUUCUGAGGGGAAAACAAAAUUUGAUGCUGUAUCUGAAAAUCAAGCCAAUUUAAAUUGAGUGUGUCCAAGUUCUCGCUCUCCUUUAUCUUCCCUCAAAUCCUCCUGGUACUCUGCCCCCAGCCUUCAUGGGGCUGAUACAUCAUUUCGCAGUUCUCAGUUUGAUGUUUUGCUAGUUUGCCAGCUCUUUCAAAAGAUCAUGUCCAAUCACCUUUAUUUCAUAGAUAAAUGGCCUAAGGGAGAGAGACAAUCUACUAUGUCUUCUGCAUCCCAGCCAUAGCGUCCAAUCAUCAUCAUCAUCAUCAUAUUACCAAUAAUAGCUAACUCUAAGAGGCUCUAGUAUGCUGGUACAAGUGGAAGCGAUGUAUUUAUAUUUUUUCCAGCACUACAGUUUCUCUGCAUGGAAGGUAGAAUUUCUCUUCUUUUUCACAAUGCAAGCUUAAAGUCUCAGAGUCUCAAUACUUGUCUAAGGUCUUCAAACUCCAAUAUGUGGUUCUUUUCCUAGUAACAUCUCUACAUAUAAAUGAAGCUAAUAUUUUUUUCUUGGUCCUGGGAAAGUGCAUUUUCCUUUGGUGGUUCAGAGAUUUUUUUUCUUUUCUCAUUUUUUUUUUUUUUGAUAUCUUAAGCUUAAUUGUAGCUUGGAGAUACAGAUAACUGCAAAGAUACAUGGAGAUUUAGAUAAAGAUACAGACUUUUUUUUUUUUUUUUUAAUGCUUGUCCUGAAGAGACUUCAAUUUUGGGGAGAAGUUAAUAUUUGUCAAGUAAUAUUUGUUUCAUUUUGUUUUGUUUUUCCUUUUUUUUUCCCUAAUGUGCUAGGUCUUUUGAUGGGCUCUGGAGAUACCUGGACAUUUAGGCUGUAAAUAUACUAACAGUUACUAUUCGCUGUGCAAGCUACCACCUGUCGGUUGCAAAUUUGAGGGCUUUAUAUCCUUUAUUAAGUCAUUAAAUCCUUACCAAAAUGCUCUAAAGUAGUUUCUCUAAUCACUUCACUUUUCAGAUAGGGAAACUGAGGCAUAGAUUUAGUAGCAUUUUACUAAAGAUGACGGAACUAGGAAGUGCACCCAGAGAGUUUUACCAUGUAGCCCAGGUUGUUAAACACUAUACCAUGUCUCCAUAUUAUAGAUUCUACCCUCAAACAGCUCAUGCACUAUUGAAGGAGACAAAUAUACAAAAAAAUGAAUUAUUAUGCCCUGCUACAAGUGUAAUAAUAUUGAUUGACACAGAGCAUUAAGGAGUAAUAAAGGAGAAACUCCUAACAGAACCUGGCAGAUAUUUGGUAUAGUAAACGGGGGAGAAGAGUGGCCAGAGAAGUCUUCUAAGAAAAGUAGGACCUUCCCCGUAUAAGCCUUAAAAUUUUAAAACAAUCAAAAAGGGACGAACCCUUUAAGCCAAGGGAUCUGAGGUGUAAAAAAUGAUUUUGAAAUUUUUCUUUAAAGCUAUAAAUUAUCUAAUAUUCAUGGGUUACAUUGUUGACUAUACCUUGGGUUUGAAUUGCCCUUCACAUCUGUUCUCUCUCUUGUUCAAAUAGGCAAG
rnacentral:lncRNA from 1 species